GGGGGUGAAUAUUUGUGGUGAUUAAGCAAGAACAGAGGAUACCUUCAUCAGUUCGUCUCCAAACAUUGUUGCAGUUGGCGAAUCCUAGAGAGCAAAAAUACAACAAAUAGAUAUUGAGUAAAUCACAAAGAUCAUUAAUGUACUACUACAACAACAAUUAUAUUGAAGUUGUAUACAGUACUUACUUUUAAUCUUGAGAGGAUAAAUCAUUAUAAAAGCAAAUCAAUCUGACGAUCCUGUCAAAACAAAAACCAUACAAGAUUAAAGAACAUAAACCCCUAUAGAAAAACAUUAGAAAAUGAUCAAUACUAUAUAGAACAUAAACCUUACUGAUGAGUGUCUCUAACAUUGGACCCAAAAGGAUGAGCAUCUCUACAACAAAUCUACCAAACAGUAGUGAAGAAG
rnacentral:lncRNA from 1 species